rnacentral:rRNA from 1 species
GUGGGGAAUUUUGGACAAUGGGCGAAAGCCUGAUCCAGCAAUGCCGCGUGCAGGAUGAAGGCCCUCGGGUUGUAAACUGCUUUUGUACGGAACGAAAAGCCUGGGGCUAAUAUCCCCGGGUCAUGACGGUACCGUAAGAAUAAGCACCGGCUAACUACGUGCCAGCAGCCGCGGUAAUACGUAGGGUGCAAGCGUUAAUCGGAAUUACUGGGCGUAAAGCGUGCGCAGGCGGUUUUGUAAGACAGUGGUGAAAUCCCCGGGCUCAACCUGGGAACUGCCAUUGUGACUGCAAGGCUAGGGUGCGGCAGAGGGGGAUGGAAUUCCGCGUGUAGCAGUGAAAUGCGUAGAUAUGCGGAGGAACACCGAUGGCGAAGGCAAUCCCCUGGGCCUGCACUGACGCUCAUGCACGAAAGCGUGGGGAGCAAACAGGAUUAGAUACCCGGGUAGUCC